GACGAACGCUGGCGGCGGGCUUAACACAUGCAAGUCGAACGGAAAGGCCCUGCUUGUGUGUGGUGCUCGAGUGGCGAACGGGUGAGUAACAUGUGAGUAACCUGCCCUUGACUGUGUGAUAACUUCAGGAAACUGGGGCUAAUACCGGAUAGGAGCUCCUGCUGCAUGGGGGGGGUUGGAAAGUUUCGGCGGUUGGGGAUGGACUCGCGGCUUAUCAGCUUGUGGGUGGGGUAGUGGCUUACCAAGGCAUUGACGGGUAGCCGGACUGAGAGGGUGACCGGCCACAUUGGGACUGAGAUACGGCCCAGACUCCUACGGGAGGAAGCAGUGGGGAAUACUGCACAAUGGGCGGAGGCCGGAUGCAGAAGCGCCGCGUGCGGGAUGACGGCCUUCGGGUUGUAAACCGCUUUCGCCUGUGACGAAGCGUGAGUGACGGUAAUGGGUAAAGAAGCAACGGCUAACUACGUG
rnacentral:rRNA from 1 species